CAAUAGCGUAUAUUUAAGUUGCUGCAGUUAAAAAGCUCGUAGUUGGAUUUCGGGUGGGAAUGGCCGGUCCGCCGUUUCGGUGUGCACUUGCUACGCCCACCUUGCUGCCGGGGACGUGCUCUUGAGUUCACGCUCGGGACACGGAGUCGGCGAGGUUACUUUGAGUAAAUUAGCGUGUUCAAAGCAGGCCUACGCUCUGAAUACAUUAGCAUGGAAUAACACGAUAGGACUCUGGCCUAUCUUGUUGGUCUGUAGGACCGGAGUAAUGAUUAAGAGGGACAGUCGGGGGCAUUCGUAUUUCAUUGUCAGAGGUGAAAUUCUUGGAUUUAUGAAAGACGAACUACUGCGAAAGCAUUUGCCAAGGAUGUUUUCAUUAA
rnacentral:rRNA from 1 species